rnacentral:rRNA from 1 species
AUUGAACGCUGGCGGCAUGCUUUACACAUGCAAGUCGAACGGUAACAGGCCUUCGGGUGCUGACGAGUGGCGAACGGGUGAGUAAUGCAUCGGAACGUACCCAGAGGUGGGGGAUAACGCAGCGAAAGCUGUGCUAAUACCGCAUGUGAUCUGAGGAUGAAAGCGGGGGACCGAGCAGCAAUGUUUGGCCUCGCGCCUUUGGAGCGGCCGAUGUCGGAUUAGCUAGUUGGUGGGGUAAAGGCCUACCAAGGCGACGAUCCGUAGCUGGUCUGAGAGGACGACCAGCCACACUGGGACUGAGACACGGCCCAGACUCCUACGGGAGGCAGCAGUGGGGAAUUUUGGACAAUGGGCGCAAGCCUGAUCCAGCAAUGCCGCGUGCGGGAAGAAGGCCUUCGGGUUUUAAACCGCUUUUGGCAGGAACGAAACGGUGUCCGCUAAUACCGGGCGCUAAUGACGGUACCUGCAGAAUAAGCACCGGCUAACUACGUG